rnacentral:lncRNA from 1 species
UUUUUUUUUUUUUUUUUUUUUUGAGAUGGAGUCAAGCUCUGUCGCCCAGGCUGGAGUGCAGUGGCACGAUCUCGGCUCACUGCAACCUCCGCCUCCCAGGUUCAAGCGAUUUUCCUGCCUCAGCCUCCUGAGUAACUGGGAUUACAGGUGCCCGCCACCACGUCCGGCUAAUUUUUUUUCUAUUUUUAGUAGAGACGGGGGUUUCACUGUUUUGGCCAGGCUGGUCUCGAGCUCCUGAUCUCGUGAUCCGCCCGCUUCGGCCUUACAAAGUGCUGGGAUUACAAGCGUGAGCCACCGUGCCCGGCUCAUCCUGCUUUUGGUUUCAGGUCUCCAUGCCAGUGAAAUGUCACCUCAACUCCACCGUCCCUGGUGUCAGGCAAGCCCGAGGGACCCAAUUCUGCCUUUCUUCUGGAUUUUCCUAACCUGUUAAGAGUCUUGAAAGUCCUUAAACCACGGGAGACUAUCUGGCACAUGACACGGGAUGAGACUUGGUGGGGGUCCCACGGGGGACAGGUCCUUCCAGCGGUUCCUCUGCACCCAGCGCUGCACGGGCAUGGGGCGUGGGUAAUCAGCCUCCCGAAAGCCACGCGAGUCACGGUCCUGCCUGCGAAGAACUCCCAGGGCGACCUUGGGGCUGAGGAGUGGGCCUGCUUCGGCCUUCUGCUCUUCUGUUGUGUGGUGACCCUCACCAGAGGACAGCUUCAUGCUCUUGGACUUCCCAGCCUCAAGAACUGUAAGAAAUAAAUUUCUUUAUAAGUUGCCCAGUCUGUGGUAUUUGGUUAUAGCAGCAGGAAAUGGAGUGAGACAAUGCCCUUUACCAGAUCAAAUUCCCUUUCAUUUCUACUUUGCUGUUUUUACCAUUAAUAGAAUGUGAAAUAUAACAAUAAACAAUAACGUUUGACACUUUGAAACGUAUCAAAUGUUAUUUUUUGGCGUCUAUUGAGAUGAUUAUAUUGUUUUUCUCUUUUAUGCUAUUCAAAUGUUUAAUCAAAUUGACUUUCAAAUGUUGCAUCUAACUUGAAUUCCUGGGUCAAAUUUCACUUGUCAUGAUGUAUUAUCUUUUUUACAUAUUGCUAGGUUUGAUUUGCUAAUACUUUCUUAAGCAUAUUUUUGUGUCUGUAUUCAUGAGAGAUAUUGAUUUAUCAUUGUCUUUUUCUGUAAUGUCUUUCUAAGUUUGGGUAUACUCAUUAUUCUGGCUUUAUAAAAUAAACUCAGUUUCCUGAGAGUCUUAUAAGAUUA